AGAGUUUGAUCAUGGCUCAGAUUGAACGCUGGCGGCAGGCCUAACACAUGCAAGUCGAGCGGUAGCACAGAGAGCUUGCUCUCGGGUGACGAGCGGCGGACGGGUGAGUAAUGUCUGGGAAACUGCCUGAUGGAGGGGGAUAACUACUGGAAACGGUAGCUAAUACCGCAUAACGUCGCAAGACCAAAGUGGGGGACCUUCGGGCCUCAUGCCAUCAGAUGUGCCCAGAUGGGAUUAGCUGGUAGGUGGGGUAACGGCUCACCUAGGCGACGAUCCCUAGCUGGUCUGAGAGGAUGACCAGCCACACUGGAACUGAGACACGGUCCAGACUCCUACGGGAGGCAGCAGUGGGGAAUAUUGCACAAUGGGCGCAAGCCUGAUGCAGCCAUGCCGCGUGUGUGAAGAAGGCCUUCGGGUUGUAAAGCACUUUCAGCGGGGAGGAAGGCGGUGAGGUUAAUAACCUCACCGAUUGACGUUACCCGCAGAAGAAGCACCGGCUAACUCCGUGCCAGCAGCCGCGGUAAUACGGAGGGUGCAAGCGUUAAUCGGAAUUACUGGGCGUAAAGCGCACGCAGGCGGUCUGUCAAGUCGGAUGUGAAAUCCCCGGGCUCAACCUGGGAACUGCAUUCGAAACUGGCAGGCUAGAGUCUUGUAGAGGGGGGUAGAAUUCCAGGUGUAGCGGUGAAAUGCGUAGAGAUCUGGAGGAAUACCGGUGGCGAAGGCGGCCCCCUGGACAAAGACUGACGCUCAGGUGCGAAAGCGUGGGGAGCAAACAGGAUUAGAUACCCUGGUAGUCCACGCUGUAAACGAUGUCGAUUUGGAGGUUGUGCCCUUGAGGCGUGGCUUCCGGAGCUAACGCGUUAAAUCGACCGCCUGGGGAGUACGGCCGCAAGGUUAAAACUCAAAUGAAUUGACGGGGGCCCGCACAAGCGGUGGAGCAUGUGGUUUAAUUCGAUGCAACGCGAAGAACCUUACCUGGUCUUGACAUCCACAGAACUUUCCAGAGAUGGAUUGGUGCCUUCGGGAACUGUGAGACAGGUGCUGCAUGGCUGUCGUCAGCUCGUGUUGUGAAAUGUUGGGUUAAGUCCCGCAACGAGCGCAACCCUUAUCCUUUGUUGCCAGCGGUUAGGCCGGGAACUCAAAGGAGACUGCCAGUGAUAAACUGGAGGAAGGUGGGGAUGACGUCAAGUCAUCAUGGCCCUUACGACCAGGGCUACACACGUGCUACAAUGGCAUAUACAAAGAGAAGCGACCUCGCGAGAGCAAGCGGACCUCAUAAAGUAUGUCGUAGUCCGGAUUGGAGUCUGCAACUCGACUCCAUGAAGUCGGAAUCGCUAGUAAUCGUAGAUCAGAAUGCUACGGUGAAUACGUUCCCGGGCCUUGUACACACCGCCCGUCACACCAUGGGAGUGGGUUGCAAAAGAAGUAGGUAGCUUAACCUUCGGGAGGGCGCUUACCACUUUGUGAUUCAUGACUGGGGUGAAGUCGUAACAAGGUAACCGUAGGGGAACCUGCGGUUGGAUCACCUCCUU
rnacentral:rRNA from 1 species